rnacentral:rRNA from 1 species
GUCCACGCUGUAAACGAUGGGCACUAGGUGUCCGGGGUAUUGACCCCCUGGGUGCCGCAGCUAACGCAUUAAGUGCCCCGCCUGGGGAGUACGGUCGCAAGAUUAAAACUCAAAGGAAUUGACGGGGGCCCGCACAAGCGGUGGAGCAUGUGGUUCAAUUCGACGCAACGCGAAGAACCUUACCUGGGCUAGACAACGGUGGACAGUCCUAGAAAUAGGAUCUUCCCUUCGGGGACCGCCGGUUCAGGUGCUGCAUGGCUGUCGU